AGCGGCGCGCUUAAUGCAUGCAAGUCGAGCGAUGAGACUCCUACGGGAGCACAUCAGCGGCAGACGGGUGAGUAACACGUAGAUGACGUACCCUCAAGACGGGGAUAACGGAUGGAAACAUGCGCUAAUACCGGAUGACCUUACGAUGUCAGAAUGGUAAGGAAAGCUACGGCGCUUGAGGAGCGGUCUGCGGCCCAUCAGCUAGUUGGUAGGGUAAAGGCCUACCAAGGCGAAGACGGGUAGGGGGUGUGAGAGCACGGGCCCCCACAAUGGGACUGAGACACGGCCCAUACUCCUACGGGAGGCAGCAGCAGGGAAUAUUGCACAAUGGACGGAAGUCUGAUGCAGCGACGCCGCGUGAGUGAAGAAGGCCUUCGGGUUGUAAAACUCUUUUGAGGGGGAAGAGCGAGGACGGUACCCCUGGAAUAAGCGUCGGCUAACUACGUGCCAGCAGCCGCGGUAAGACGUAGGACGCGAGCGUUAUCCGGAUUUACUGGGCGUAAAGCGUCUGUAGGCGGAUGUGUAAGUUGGGCGUGAAAGCUCCGGGCUUAACCCGGAGAGGCCGUUCAAUACUGCAUAACUUGAGGGUGUCAGAGGGGAGCGGAAUUCCCGGUGUAGCGGUCAAAUGCGCAGAGAUCGGGAGGAACACCAGUGGCGGAGGCGGUUCCCUGGGGCACACCUGACGCUGAGAGACGAACGCUAGGGGAGCGAACAGGAUUAGAGACCCUGGUAGUCCUAGCCCUAGACGAUGAAUGCUACGUGUGGGAUCGAAUGGUUCCGUG
rnacentral:rRNA from 1 species